rnacentral:ribozyme from 11 species
AAAGAAAAAAAAAGAAAGAAAAAAAGGGCCCCAAACAACAUUGCAAGGUUGCAGGAAGGCUCACAGCCAGCCAGAGUUUCUUUCGACUUUUUUUCUCUCUGUAACUCAUCCGUGUUCCUCUUUCCUCUUUCCUUCC